UACGUAGGGUGCAAGCGUUAAUCGGAAUUACUGGGCGUAAAGCGUGCGCAGGCGGUUUGGUAAGACAGAUGUGAAAUCCCCGGGCUCAACCUGGGAACUGCAUUUGUGACUGCAUCGCUCGAGUGUGGCAGAGGGGGAUGGAAUUCCGCGUGUAGCAGUGAAAUGCGUAGAUAUGCGGAGGAACACCGAUGGCGAAGGCAAUCCCCUGGGCCUGCACUGACGCUCAUGCACGAAAGCGUGGGGAGCAAACAGG
rnacentral:rRNA from 1 species